GAAUUGACGGGGGCCCGCACAAGCAGUGGAGCAUGUGGUUUAAUUCGAAGCAACGCGAAGAACCUUACCAGGGCUUGACAUCCCUCUGACCGGUGUAGAGAUACACCUUCCCUUCGGGGCAGGGGAGACAGGUGGUGCAUGGUUGUCGUCAGCUCGUGUCGUGAGAUGUUGGGUUAAGUCCCGCAACGAGCGCAACCCUUGUCGUUAGUUGCCAGCACUUUGGGUGGGCACUCUAACGAGACUGCCGGUGACAAAUCGGAGGAAGGUGGGGAUGACGUCAAAUCAUCAUGCCCCUUAUGUCCUGGGCUACACACGUGCUACAAUGGCGACUACAGAGGGAAGCAAAGCCGCGAGGUGGAGCAAAUCCCCAAAAGUCGUCCCAGUUCGGAUUGCAGGCUGCAACUCGCCUGCAUGAAGUCGGAAUUGCUAGUAAUGGCAGGUCAGCAUACUGCCGUGAAUACGUUCCCGGGCCUUGUACACACCG
rnacentral:rRNA from 1 species